rnacentral:misc_RNA from 1 species
AAGUCGUAACAAGGUCUCCGUAGGUGAACCUGCGGAGGGAUCAUUAACACGUUUCCAUAACGUUUAACUUUCUACACACCAAAUUGCGUGAAUUCAAUCGAAUCAACUUAUACCCGACUUGAGAGGGAGAGAACCUGUCUUUAUACACGGAGUGAUGAGUGUGCGUAUUUGUUAUGUUGGCAACAGCAUAACAUUAGGCAUGCGGUGUAUCUAGGCUUGUAAUGCUCGACAUUACGGGAUCUCUCUCAUUCAAGCUAUCAACAAUUAACCAUGUUCCCUUCAUCGCUGGAACGAACAACACCCCUUUCACCCCUUUAUAACUAACUAGACUGAUAUUUCUUUUUGACAGUGAGGCUUGCUUUACUGUUUCAAGGAUUGAUUUUAAUCAAAUAUCUAAGCACAACUCUUAGCAACGGAUAUCUUGGUUCUC